ensembl:lncRNA
GGGAGAGAGAGGAGAGGCGGGAGAGGUGGGAGAGAGAGGUAAGGUGGGAGAGAGAGGAGAUGCGGGAGAGAGAGGAGAGGUGGGAGAGGUGGGAGAGAGAGGUAAGGUGGGAGAGAGAGGAGAUGCGGGAGAGAGAGGAGAGGUGGGAGAGAGAGGAGAGGUGGGAGAGAGAGGAGAUGCGGGAGAGAGAGGAGAGGUGGGAGAGAGAGGUAAGGUGGGAGAGAGAGGAGAUGCUGGAGAGAGAGGAGAGGUGGGAGAGAGAGGAGAGGCGGGAGAGAAAGGAGAGGUAGGAGAGAGAGAGAGGCUGGCCAAUCGUCGGACCCCUGAGGAGCGCGUUCCGCCCCAAAGUGAGCUACCUGAUCUGCAGAGAGGCACAGGGGCGAAAAGAUGAAUAACAU